AUGAACGCUGGCGGCGUGCCUAAUACAUGCAAGUCGAGCGAACAGACGAGGAGCUUGCUCCUCUGACGUUAGUGGCGGACGGGUGAGUAACACGUGGAUAACCUACCUAUAAGACUGGGAUAACUUCGGGAAACCGGAGCUAAUACCGGAUAAUAUAUUGAACCGCAUGGUUCAAUAGUGAAAGACGGUUUUGCUGUCACUUAUAGAUGGAUCCGCGCCGCAUUAGCUAGUUGGUAAGGUAACGGCUUACCAAGGCGACGAUGCGUAGCCGACCUGAGAGGGUGAUCGGCCACACUGGAACUGAGACACGGUCCAGACUCCUACGGGAGGCAGCAGUAGGGAAUCUUCCGCAAUGGGCGAAAGCCUGACGGAGCAACGCCGCGUGAGUGAUGAAGGUCUUCGGAUCGUAAAACUCUGUUAUUAGGGAAGAACAAAUGUGUAAGUAACUAUGCACGUCUUGACGGUACCUAAUCAGAAAGCCACGGCUAACUACGUG
rnacentral:rRNA from 1 species